rnacentral:rRNA from 1 species
AAUUAAAUAAUUAUUAAUUUUGUAUUUUUAUAUAAUUAAUUAAUAUAAAUAAAUUUAAUAUUAUUUUUUUUUUGUAUAUUUUAUAGAUAAAAUAAUUUUUAUAAUAGUUUAGUGGUAUUGUGGAAGAAAUUUGAAAAAUUAAUAAAUUUAUUUAAAAGUAGAAUUUAUUUUUUGUACCUUUUGUAUCAGGGUUUAUUAAUUAAAAAUUAAUGAUUUAAUAUUCUCGAAUUUAAAGGAGCUAAUGAAAUAUGAUAGUUUUUGUUUUAUAACAAUUAUAAAUAUUUUAUUAGUAAUGAAAUGUUAUUCGUCUUUAAAUAUAUCUAGUUUUUUAAGAAAUAAAUUUAAUUUAUACAUUAGUUUAGUAAUUAUUUUAUUAUAUAAUUAAUUAUUGUUUAAUGUAAAUGUAUUAAGGGAUAAGCUUUAAUAUAGUUGGGUUAUAAUUUUUUUAUUAUAUUAUUAAUUGUAGAUUUAGAAAUGGUUAACAAUAGAAAUUUUGUAUUAAUUUAUAAGGGGGAUUAUAGUAUUUUAUAAAAUUUAAUUUAAGUAUUAAAAUAUAAAUUUGAAUAAAUUAUAUUUAGGAAUAAUGAUGAAAUUAGUAUAUAGUAAAGUUUAAAUAAAUAAUUUUAUUUAGAUUAGUUUAAGGAAUUCGGCAAAAUAAUAUUCACCUGUUUAACAAAAACAUGUCUUUUAGAUAAUAAUUUAAAGUCUGGCCUGCCCACUGAAUAAUAGAUUUAAAGGGCCGCGGUAUUUUGACUGUGCAAAGGUAGCAUAAUCAUUAGUCUUUUAAUUGAAGGCUUGUAUGAAUGGUUGGAUGAAAUAUUAACUGUCUCAAAUUAAUAUGUUAGAAUUUAAUUUUUAAGUUAAAAAGCUUAAAUAAAAUUAGAGGACGAGAAGACCCUAUAGAUUUUUAUAAUUUAUUUAUUAUAAAUAAUUUAGUUGAUAGAAAUUUUUAAUAAGUAAAUUAUUUUAUUGGGGUGAUAGAUAAAUUUAGUAAACUUUAUUUAAUAUAAACAUUAAUGUAUGAAUUAUUGAUCCAUUUUUAGUGAUUAUAAGAUUAAAUUACCUUAGGGAUAACAGCGUAAUUUUUUUAGAGAGUUCAUAUCGAUAAAAAAGUUUGCGACCUCGAUGUUGAAUUAAAGAUUAGUUUAGGUGUAGAAGUUUAAAUUUUUGGUCUGUUCGACCAUUAAAUCUUUACAUGAUUUGAGUUCAAACCGGCGUGAGCCAGGUUGGUUUCUAUCCUUAAUAUAUUAAAAUAUUUUAGUACGAAAGGACCAAAUAUUUAAAAAAUUUUUUUAAAUUAGAAUAAUAUUAAUU